rnacentral:miRNA from 1 species
UUUGGACUGAGCUCUCCAAAACAU